AUUGAACGCUGGCGGCAUGCCUUACACAUGCAAGUCGAACGGCAGCACGGGUGCUUGCACCUGGUGGCGAGUGGCGAACGGGUGAGUAAUACAUCGGAACAUGUCCUGUAGUGGGGGAUGGCCCGGCGAAAGCCGGAUUAAUACCGCAUACGAUCUACGGAUGAAAGCGGGGGACCUUCGGGCCUCGCGCUAUCGGGUUGGCCGAUGGCUGAUUAGCUAGUUGGUGGGGUAAAGGCCUACCAAGGCGACGAUCAGUAGCUGGUCUGAGAGGACGACCAGCCACACUGGGACUGAGACACGGCCCAGACUCCUACGGGAGGCAGCAGUGGGGAAUUUUGGACAAUGGGCGAAAGCCUGAUCCAGCAAUGCCGCGUGUGUGAAGAAGGCCUUCGGGUUGUAAAGCACUUUUGUCCGGAAAGAAAUCCUUGGCCCUAAUACGGUCGGGGGAUGACGGUACCGGAAGAAUAAGCACCGGCUAACUACGUG
rnacentral:rRNA from 1 species